AGAGGGAAAAGAAAAGCAAUAUGUUGUCGUUUGUGAAUCCAUUGAUAUUCUUUGAUGUAAUUCAUGAAUUCCGACAGGUUCUGAUUCU